ACUGAAGGUAAAAUAUAAUACGCUUGAGUAGUAAUAAGUUAUAAGCUCGAAACUUAAAAGAUUUGGCGGUAUUUAAGUCUAGUUAGAGGAACCUGCUUUAUAAACGAUAUGCCACGAAUUAUCUUACUUUAUUUUGUAUUCAAUUUGUAUACCUCCAUUUUUAAAUAAUAUUUUGAAGUAUUUUUUUAAAUAGAAAAAUUUCUAGUUUAUUAGGUCAAGGUGCAGUUUAUAGUAAAGUAAAUGUGGGUUACAUUAUAUUAUAUUAUUUAUGGAUAAAUGUAUGUAAUUAUAUUUUGAAAUUGGAUUUAAUAGUAUUUUUGAAUUAAUAAGUCAAGAUGAUAAUAGCUCUUUAAUAUGU
rnacentral:rRNA from 1 species